rnacentral:lncRNA from 1 species
UCUUAAUAAUAUUGCUUAUUGCUAUAUUUUAUUUCAUUACCAAUCAUUAUAGAGUACAAAGCCAUACUUGCAUGGUAUGUGAUAUUUGAAAAGGAAGAAAAUUAAUAACAAAAUAAUUCCAACAAUAGGGUUCAAUACAACUAUUAAAUUACAAAUUAUUUCAUACUUUAUUAUAAAUAAUAUUUCUUAGUUCUUGUAAUCAUAUAUAAGGACUUUAUACCUCUAUUUCUUUCAUCAUGUGCCUCUCUCUCAUCAUCAUAUUUUCAUUUAUAAUUUUAGGUUUCACACUCAAAAAAUCACCCUUGUGAUCAUAUUCCGGUUCAGGACCAUCAUAUUCCGGUUCGGCAUAUUCAGGACCAUCACAUAAACAUAUGAAAUUAAUACACCGUGUAAUCAUUGGAGGCGUACAGAAAUCUUCUGGACAAGUAGUUGGAUUUUCACAUGGAACGGUUACUGUAAUUGAAAAAUAGAACAUAAGAUUGUUACUAUGUAAGAAUUAAAAAAGUAAAAGUUAGUCCCCGUGAACGGGUGUGGUUAUGGUGCAUAAGGAAAUCCUUAUGCACCCUGCAUAAAUUCAGAAAUGGUUUUGGAGUACAACUCACAGAAACCAUUUUCACAGCAAAAUGAUUUUGACAUAAUUUUAUGCAGGGUGCUGGAAAUCCUUAUGCAGGGUGCUGGAAACCAUUACGUACAUCAAAUGGUUUUGGAGUACAACUCACAGAAACCAUUUCCACAGCAAAAUGGUUUUGGCAUACUUUUAUGCAGGGUGCUGGAAAUCCUUAUGCAGGGUGCUGGAAAUCAUUACGUACAUCGAAUGGUUUUGGAGUACAACUCAUAGAAACAAUUUUUGGAUUUAUGCAAGGUGCAUAAGGAUUUCAUUAUGCACCAUAACUGUGCCCCACGUGAGCUUAGCUCAAUUGGCAGGGACAUUGCAUAAUUUAUGCAGAGGCCGAGGUUCGAACUCCGAACACCCAACUUCUCCACAUUUUAAUGUGUGAGCUCCAAUCACUAGGCUCACUAGACAAAAAAAAUUAAAAGAAUGCAAAAUGGCUUACAUCCUUUGCAUGUAAGAAAUUGAACGAGAAAUAGAGAAAGAAAGAGGAUCAUAAUAUAAAUAAACUUCAUAAUUUUAGAUAAAUAUUUCCUUCUUUCAACGUAAGAAAUUAAAAAGAAUUUUAUCACUUUAUAAUGUAGAUAGCUCAA